rnacentral:rRNA from 1 species
GGAAACUGGGUCUAAUACCGGAUAGGAGCGCCUACCGCAUGGUGGGUGUUGGAAAGAUUUAUCGGUUUUGGAUGGACUCGCGGCCUAUCAGCUUGUUGGUGAGGUAAUGGCUCACCAAGGCGACGACGGGUAGCCGGCCUGAGAGGGUGACCGGCCACACUGGGACUGAGACACGGCCCAGACUCCUACGGGAGGCAGCAGUGGGGAAUAUUGCACAAUGGGCGCAAGCCUGAUGCAGCGACGCCGCGUGAGGGAUGACGGCCUUCGGGUUGUAAACCUCUUUCAGUAGGGAAGAAGCGAAAGUGACGGUACCUGCAGAAGAAGCACCGGCUAACUACGUGCCAGCAGCCGCGGUAAUACGUAGGGUGCGAGCGUUAUCCGGAAUUAUUGGGCGUAAAGAGCUCGUAGGCGGUUUGUCGCGUCUGUCGUGAAAGUCCGGGGCUUAACCCCGGAUCUGCGGUGGGUACGGGCAGACUAGAGUGCAGUAGGGGAGACUGGAAUUCCUGGUGUAGCGGUGGAAUGCGCAGAUAUCAGGAGGAACACCGAUGGCGAAGGCAGGUCUCUGGGCUGUAACUGACGCUGAGGAGCGAAAGCAUGGGGAGCGAACAGGAUUAGAUACCCUGGUAGUCCAUGCCGUAAACGUUGGGCACUAGGUGUGGGGACCAUUCCACGGUUUCCGCGCCGCAGCUAACGCAUUAAGUGCCCCGCCUGGGGAGUACGGCCGCAAGGCUAAAACUCAAAGGAAUUGACGGGGGCCCGCACAAGCGGCGGAGCAUGCGGAUUAAUUCGAUGCAACGCGAAGAACCUUACCAAGGCUUGACAUGUUCUCGAUCGCCGUAGAGAUACGGUUUCCCCUUUGGGGCGGGUUCACAGGUGGUGCAUGGUUGUCGUCAGCUCGUGUCGUGAGAUGUUGGGUUAAGUCCCGCAACGAGCGCAACCCUCGUUCCAUGUUGCCAGCACGUAAUGGUGGGGACUCAUGGGAGACUGCCGGGGUCAACUCGGAGGAAGGUGAGGACGACGUCAAAUCAUCAUGCCCCUUAUGUCUUGGGCUUCACGCAUGCUACAAUGGCCGGUACAAUGGGUUGCGAUACUGUGAGGUGGAGCUAAUCCCAAAAAGCCGGUCUCAGUUCGGAUUGGGGUCUGCAACUCGACCCCAUGAAGUCGGAGUCGCUAGUAAUCGC